ACCAGAACCGCAUCCGGAUAGCAUCGGAAGCCUCUCAGACGAAUAGUAUAGGCUCUUUUAUCCAACUCCUAUCCGGACACGUCCCAGUUUUUGCAUGUGUGGUAACACCGUUCAUCACAUAUCCAAGCUUAGGUACACGGACCUAUUCCAUCCUCUCGAGCGUAUGGUGACACGUGGCGAAUCUGGAGGGG
rnacentral:ribozyme from 1 species